AUUGAACGCUGGCGGAAUGCUUUACACAUGCAAGUCGAACGGCAGCACGGGAGCUUGCUCCUGGUGGCGAGUGGCGAACGGGUGAGUAAUGCAUCGGAACGUAUCCUGUAGUGGGGAAUAACUCACCGAAAGGUGAGCUAAUACCGCAUAAGCUCUGAGGAGGAAAGCGGGGGGACCGAAAGGCCUCGCGCUGCAGGAGCGGCCGAUGUCCGAUUAGCUAGUUGGUGAGGUAAAGGCUCACCAAGGCGACGAUCGGUAGCUGGUCUGAGAGGAUGAUCAGCCACACUGGGACUGAGACACGGCCCAGACUCCUACGGGAGGCAGCAGUGGGGAAUUUUGGACAAUGGGGGAAACCCUGAUCCAGCCAUGCCGCGUGAGUGAAGAAGGCCUUCGGUUGUAAAGCGUCUUUCGGACGGUAACGAAAUUAGCUUGGACUAAUACUCUGAGUAGAUGACGGUACCGUAAGAAGAAG
rnacentral:rRNA from 1 species